UAGGGAAUAUUGGACAAUGGGUGAGAGCCUGAUCCAGCCAUGCCGCGUGCAGGAAGAAGGCGUUAUGCGUUGUAAACUGCUUUUUGCCAGGGGAUAAAAAGACCGUGCGCGGUUAAUUGAAGGUACCUGGUGAAUAAGCCACGGCUAACUACGUGCCAGCAGCCGCGGUAAUACGUAGGUGGCAAGCGUUGUCCGGAUUUAUUGGGUUUAAAGGGUGCGUAGGUGGCCCUGUAAGUCAGUGGUGAAAUAUCUCAGCUUAAACUGAGAGGGUGCCAUUGAUACUGCAGGGCUUGAGUACAGAUGAGGUAGGCGGAAUUGACGGUGUAGCGGUGAAAUGCAUAGAUAUCGUCAAGAACACCGAUAGCGAAGGCAGCUUACCAAGCUGUAACUGACACUGAGCGCGAAAGCCAGGGGAGCAAACGGGAUUAGAUACCCGCGUAGUCCCUGAGCGGGCUGGCAAGGCGCAU
rnacentral:rRNA from 1 species